rnacentral:lncRNA from 1 species
AUUGGAUUCUAGAAAUGGGCUAAGUUUUUUGGUUGCAGACAUUUCUUUUUCCAGAACACAUUUUGAACCUCUUUAGAGAGCUGUUCAUGGCCUCUGAGAGGCAUCUGAGGUUCUGGUGGGCCUUGCUUUGCCCUUCUGUGUAACCCCACCCCUAAUAGUAACUUUGGGCAUAAAAGAAGGAUAAUGUUAGAAGUCAUCAUUAAAUAAAUGUCAUGUGCCAGGAACUGAGAUAUAGAGCUUUACAGCCAUUGUUGUACAUAAUUUUCAUAGAUCUCCAGAAAGGAAAGUAUUGUUAUGCUCAUUAUACUAUGAUGAAACUAAGGUUCAGAGUAGUUGACAUCUUGUCCAUGCUCUCAAGAUAAUGGCAGUGUGGGAUUUGAACCGGAGGAUGUUUAACUCCAGGGUAUGGGCUCUGACCACUGCAUUGUAUUCCCUUUCGCCUUCUUUUAUUUUCUCUCUCCUUUCCCUAGUUCUUCCUACCGCCUUUCUCCUUUCCUCUUCUCUUCCUCCCCUCUGUCUUGCAUUUGCCAGGGCAAUUCAGCCAGUGUUUUUGGAGUGCCUGCUGCGGGCAAACUACCAUGCUGUGCUCUCUAGGAGAUGCAAAGAUGAAGAUACACCAGUGGCAACUGAGGAGACCUUGAAACAUUGAGAAGCUGGAACCAAUUGUGACCCAGUGUCCACCAUACGCAGGAUGGAUGGCAAAGUCUCAGAGCAUGACAAAAGGAACAUUACUUUGAGAUGCCUCCUUGAUACGUAAGAUAAGAUGCUUCUAUUGCUACAACUGAAACCUCCAGCAUCCUCCAAUCUUGCUCUUAAAGAGGCCUUGUCUGAUUUUUCCUCCUUGGAAAUGUUUGAUGCUCACAGAGGUAGGUACCAUUCAUGGAAGGCUACCAUGCUCCAGGCACAGUGCUAAGGGCUUCACAAAUAUCUCUUCUAAUUCUCCUGGCAACCCUGUGAGUGGGUGCUACUUUAUUCAUGUUAUUGGUGAAAUAGCCACCACUCAGAGAGGUGAACGCCCUGCCCCAGGUCAUAUAGCUGGUAAGUGACUUCUGGGUUGCAUUUGAAACCCUCGUCUCUCUGGCCCUAAAGCUGAAGCCCUUAACCACUAUGCUUUACUGCCUCACAAACAGCAUUCCUGUUUCCUAUUUGAUAAUGCUUGUAGUACUUCGGAAUGGAUUCCCAAGGAUAGCAGGCCUCCUAACCAUUUAGAUCAAG